UAAUUAUAGUAACUUUUUUUAUUGUGGAAAUAUCAUCCGUCGAUGAAGUGUUCGAAAAUGAGUUAAUAGCAAAAUGAGUAUGUUCCACGUUGUAUAGUAUUAUAAUCCGUUAAAUUUUCGAUGCGUCCAAGUGCUACGACUACAGGGGACUGGUCGUCAUACUUUAUAUCCCGUGAGUCUGUCAUUCAUGGGCUCAUAACAAUCACCACGUUGCACUUCCAUGCCAGUAAUUGUUGUACUCAGUCUUCUCCAUUCGUGCAGCAACAUGGAAACCAUGUCCUAUAUUAAUAUUCCAUGUAUUAUUACCUUUAUUUCUUUCUUGUUUGAAUAAUAUAAAGAUAAUUUGAUUGUA